GAUGAACGCUGGCGGCGUGCCUAAUACAUGCAAGUCGAGCGAACAGACGAGGAGCUUGCUCCUUUGACGUUAGCGGCGGACGGGUGAGUAACACGUGGUUAACCUACCUAUAAUACUGGGAUAACUUCGUGAAACCGGAGCUAAUACCGGAUAAUAUUUCGAACCGCAUGUUUCGAUAGUGAAAUAUGGCUUUGCUAUCACUUAUAGAUGUACCUGCGCCGUAUUAGCUAGUUGGUAAGGUAACGGCUUACCAAGGCAACGAUACGUAGCCGACCUGAGAGGGGGAUCGGAAAGAAGGGAACUGAGAAACGGUAAAGAAGCAUACGGGAGGCAGCAGUAGGGAAUAUGCCGAAAUGGGCGAAAGCAUGACGGAGCAAAGCCGCGUGAGUGAUGAAGGUCUUCGGAUCGUAAAACUCUGUUAUUAGGGAAGAAAAAAAGUGUAAGUAACUGUGCACGUCAUGACGGUACCUAAUCAGAAAGCAACGGCUAACUACGUG
rnacentral:rRNA from 1 species